AACGAACGUUAGCGGCGCGCCUAACACAUGCAAGUCGAACGCGACAGGGGCAACUCUGUUGAGUUGGCGCACGGGUGAGUAACACGUAGGUAAUCUCCCCCCGAGUGGUGGAUAACCCUCCGAAAGGAGAGCUAAUACAGCAUAAGACCACGGAGUCGAAAAGGCUCUGAGGUCAAAAGCGGAGGAUCGUAAGACUUCGCGCUUGGGGAUGAGCCUGCGGCCCAUCAGGUAGUUGGCGGGGUAAUGGCCCACCAAGCCUUAGACGGGUAGCUGGUCUGAGAGGAUGAUCAGCCACACUGGAACUGAGACACGGUCCAGACUCCUACGGGAGGCAGCAGUGGGAAUCUUGCGCAAUGGACGAAAGUCUGACGCAGCGACGCCGCGUGGGUGAUGAAGGCCUUCGGGUUGUAAAGCCCUGUGGGGAGGGACGAAUAAGUUGCAGCUAAUACCUGCAGCGAUGACGGUACCUCCUUAGCAAGCACCGGCUAACUCUGUGCCAGCAGCCGCGGUAA
rnacentral:rRNA from 1 species